rnacentral:lncRNA from 1 species
AGGGCCUCAGCUGAAGAACCCAGAAGACAGUGGAAAAAGUUUUUCCCUCCCUAUAUGGGAGUGUGAGAGCCCAACUCUGCCUCAAGAGAGAAGAAAGUCUAAGGAGUUACUUGUGCUCCAGAGCUCCCUGGGAAUCAGACAGAGAAGAUCACCAGGGCUCUCAACCAAUCAUCAGUGCUCUCAACCAAUCAUCAGUGCUCUCAGACAAUCAUCAGUGCUCUCAGCCAAUCAUUAGUGCUCUCAGCCAAUCAUCAGUACUCUCAGCCAAUCAUCAGAUCACCUGAAUUCUAGAUUUUCCAUCAUCUCAGCCACCUUUUUUCACAUGCAACUUGUUAAACGUUGUCCAAGGAUGAGAUGGAAUGAAAUGGACACCUUUAGUGUACAGAUAACAUGGACGGAAGUUCUGUUGUAACAAGGCUCACUGUUUCCAAAAUCAAAUCAGUGACAAAACCAUGAAGAUCAUAGGAUUUGGAAGGUGAAAAAUCAUAGCAUUCAGGACUGCAGGUGCCACCAGCUAAUUGGGCUCACUGGGCUCUGAAACUGCAAGGAGGUGCUGUGACAAGUUACUGAGAACCAAGAAACUUUGGUAACCCCUGAAAUUUGGUGAAAAAAUGAAAUCAAAACUGUGUAAAUACAGUCAACAAUCUCACCCUUUCGUGUAUGUGUACGCACAUGUGUCUGUGUUAAAAUGGUGUAAAAAAUACACCAAAAUUCAAAAUUCAAAAAAAAGACAGGUCUUUAUUUUUUUCUCCAGUUUUCUAAUUUUGCUAAGCUGCC